rnacentral:lncRNA from 10 species
GGGCCACAUAAAAAUAUGUAUAUACAUACUUUCAUCGUAUUCAACAAUGGAUUAAAAGGACACAUUCUAAAAUGACAGCAGUUAGGAGUGGACAAAUGGAAGGAGUAGCCGCAUACGGGGGGACUCAAUGGGGGAAUUUAGCUUUCUCUUUUUUUUGUGUAAGGAAACUGUAUUUUUAUAAUGGUUUUAAAUUAUGCAUGUAAAAAGCAGCUGGGUUGAAAUAUUUAUGCAUAAAAUGAUAUAAUGUCCACAAUUUGCUUCAAAAACUUCCAGGAAAGGGACAAGGGAAAUGUCUGAGACAAGAGAAGAAACAAGACUGACCAUGAACUAGUAGUUGUUAAAACAGAAUGAUGGAUAUAUGAGGAUUCACUGCAUUUAUGUACAUUUGAAAUUUUUCAUAAUAACUAUUACAAAAAUAAGGCAGCCGAUAUGUGAAAAUGUUAACAAUAUCUAGUUUUAGAGGCUAGGACUAGAGAUGAUUAGUGCAAUUAUUAAAAACGAAGCUUUAUUCUCAUUUUCUGAUGCUACUCUGCUUCUAAUUUUACCAAGCUGUUUGAGAUACAGGCCUUAGAAGCAGAUACUUAUGGCCCUGGAUUAGUCAACUUCUCAUCAGAGAGCAGGAGGGCAGGAAGUGAUGAACAACUAUUGCUGUUUUACUUUGAACAUACGUUCAAAAACCCCACCUUUGUGAAUUAUGGGGGAUCCCAAGACAGUAUAAAUAUAAACCUGUUUCAGUUUAAAUAAAACUUAUAUAUCUUCUAUGAAUAUUCAAAUGACAAUAAAAUGAACAGUUAGUCACACAAUAUAUAUAAGCUAAUACUAAAUUAUGGAAAAGAGGCAUGUUAAUCCACAAUUAUAUAAACAUACACAGAUCAAAAUCACUACAUUGACC